GGGGGCGCCAUGGUUUCGACGGGGAUGGUUGAAGCCGGGGUAGCAGGCCGAGGUGCCGUGGGGACCUCGUUAAACACGCGGCACAGCGAUAAUUGCCAACGACAAUUACGCCUACGCAAUGGCUGCCUAGAAAACAGCCUUUGCAUUGACGGCAGAGACCGUCACGUUUCAUGCGGUGGACGCCCGAUAAACCGCCUGAAGCGUCAUCCUUUUCGGGCUGGCUGUUGACGUUUGCCGGGAGCGUCACGCAGCGAGACACAUCCAGGCUGGCCAAGGGGAGCCCGUUCGGAGGCCAACCCCGAGGCGAGAACCUAACUCCGAAAUAAGCCUGUAGAAGCCUUGAGUGGAGCGUUCUCGGACGCGGGUUCGAUUCCCGCCGCCUCCACCA
rnacentral:tmRNA from 1 species